rnacentral:rRNA from 1 species
ACUCCUACGGGAGGCAGCAGUGGGGAAUAUUGCACAAUGGGCGCAAGCCUGAUGCAGCCAUGCCGCGUGUAUCGAAGAAUGGGCCUUCGGGUUGAUAAAGCACUUUCAGUUGUGAGGAAAGGUUAGUCGCUAAUAUCGGCUAGCCGAUUUGACUGUUGACAACAGAAGAAGCACCGGCUAACUCCGUGCCAGCAGCCGCGGUAAUACGGAGGGUGCGAGCGUUAAUCGGAAUUACUGGGCGUAAAGCGCGUGUAGGUGGCUUGUUAAGCCAGAUGUGAAAG